CACUCCUGCGGGAGGCAGCAGUGGGGAAUAUUGGACGAUGGGCGCAAGCCUGAUCCAGCCAUGCCGCGUGAGUGAUGAAGGCCCUAGGGUUGUAAAGCUCUUUCACCGGUGAAGAUAAUGACGGUAACCGGAGAAGAAGCCCCGGCUAACUUCGUGCCAGCAGCCGCGGUAAUACGAAGGGGGCUAGCGUUGUUCGGAUUUACUGGGCGUAAAGCGCACGUAGGCGGACUAUUAAGUCAGGGGUGAAAUCCCGGGGCUCAACCCCGGAACUGCCUUUGAUACUGGUAGUCUUGAGUUCGAGAGAGGUGAGUGGAAUUCCGAGUGUAGAGGUGAAAUUCGUAGAUAUUCGGAGGAACACAAGUGGCGAAGGCGGCUCACUGGCUCGAUACUGACGCUGAGGUGCGAAAGCGUGGGGAGCAAACAGGAUUAGAAACCCGAGUAGUCCCAUGA
rnacentral:rRNA from 1 species